GCCGGAGUGGCGGAAUUGGCAGACGCGCUAGAUUCAGGUUCUAGUGAACAUUAUGUUCGUACAGGUUCGAGUCCUGCCUUCGGCA
rnacentral:tRNA from 1 species